AGUCACAUUAGCUUAGAUAAUGGGAGAAUUUUUCUUCAUUGAAAAUGCUCCCUGUCGCUUAAGAAGAACUCACUGAGGCAGCCUGCCAUCUAGCUUUUUCACAGCAAAAUAGGCUUGCAGACUGCAGAUGAGAGACUCGGGAGCAGAGACAAUUUUAACUUAGCCAUCCCUAAUUUAUCUCAAGCUUUUUCAAUUCAUCUUCACUGCUCUAUGCACACUGGAACACCAGAUUGUCAACCCCUGGGAAAAGAAAGCAGCCAGGGAUCUAGAGAGCUGUCACAUCCUGAGAAAUAUUUAAAUUGUGCUGAUUUUCUUCUGGAGUGCUGAGCAGAGGGAAUGAAACUCUCCAUCAAGUCAUAGCUUUGCGGGCAAUAGAUCAGAGGAUACUGCCAGUUUUUCUAAUGGAUUAUUGUUAUCGGGCAGGUUCUUCCUGAAGGUCCUUUUAAGUGAAGCAGCCAUAUCUUGGAUUUCAUUGUGUGACCUUAAAACUUAGUGUCAAGCCCUUCAGGUAGCUACUAGAUUUUGUGAGGUUAAAAGGAAUUUGUUAUGUGGCUUUUUUAAUCAGACAGCCAACCUGUUCCUUGACCUGAUGCGAGUACUACUGGACAUUUUUUGUGACAGGCUGCUGCAGGCAUCUUCUAGAAGUGACUGUGUUUGGCUACUAUGUGAGCAAAGCAAUCACACUUCAGCAUCGAGCCCAACGUGCCUGAAGUCUCACUGGCUGUGGGCUGAAUGAUUAAAUGAACAUUAUAACGGGAAACAUGCAAGUUUAUUGUGAUUGUUUUGAUUUUGUGUCAAAGCCCUUCUUAGCUAAUAGGUAGAAUCCCUAAGUAGUUGUUCCUCCCUACUUAUCAUCUAUUGUAUACUUUCCAAUUUCCUAAUUCUCAUUACUGAUGCCAAUCAAAUUCUCAUCCAUCUGUAGGUUAUUGUAAUAUUGAUAUGUCUCUAACACACAGUACUACUGACUAUAAUUGUUUAAAUUAAUGCAUUCCUGGAAGUUUGUUUCAAGAGGUUGGCUACUUACUAUAAAACAAGUUACAGUAAUGCUGGCAGGACUUGAAGAAGUCUAGAUUGCAAUGUCUGAUUCUUCUACCUAAAAUAAUUCAGGAAACUACUGAAUAAUAUUGAGAUCAAAAGCAUUGAUCUCAUAUUAAGAGCUUAUUCCUUUUUUAAAUGACUAGGUGACACAACAAUUUCUGUGUUGCAUGCCCUCAUCUAGCUAAGUUAUAUGUCAGACUGCUAAAGAAUUUAGAAAAAAUGUAAAUGUAUGUGAUUAAUGCCCAUUCAAAACAUUUAUUUUCCAGGUCUGUUGCUUAUCAUGAGUCUUGCAGAAACUUUACAAAGUUAAAAUUAGAUAGAAAAGAAAAGGAAUUUUUUUAGCUGAAGCCAGUAAGAGUAAUGGAUAUGUAAGUGGGUAUAAGUAAAUAAUAAAGAAAUAACCUCACCCUUUCAA